UGGACCCCAGUAUCUGGUCAGAGAGUAGCAACGGUGAGGUGGGAGAACAGUGUGGGGUCCUGAUGCACGGCAGAGCUGUCACCUUCUGUGAACCCUUCGGAGAGAGAGAGCUGAUCAGCGUUCCUCUCAACACCACAACAGCCUCCGUCCUGCAGUUUGCUCUCGGUGAGUACCAUUUACAACUUACUUAUCCCUCCUUGUCUUGGGCAAAUAUGGGACAUGUCAUACCACACAUCAUGCUGGCUAGAGUUAUGUACUGAUGGUUUAAAGGAGACCCUGAAACAACAAAGAGCUCUUAAUUAGCAUGUUGUCAUAUUUACAUUUAGACAUUCUCACAAA